AUGAUAUCCUUGGGAGUUGGAUACUUUCUGGGCCUGGAUGCAGCGCUGUGGCUCGGUUUCUUUGCCAUGGGUUCCUCUCCAGGAGGAGCUGCCAGCAACAUCUACUGUUAUCUAUUGGACGGCGAAGUAUCCCUCAGUGUGACCAUGACCUUCAUCAGUACCUUGGCUUCGCUAGCUCUGAUUCAAGCAUGGAUCUACAGUGUGGGUAUUAAUAUGAUCUACAAAGACAUAGAGAUUUCUAUUCCAUUCGUAAACAUCAUCACAUCUCUAGACGGCCUGAUCAUGCUUGUGGGCAUCGGGAUCCUGAUACAAAUCAAGAAACCUAAGUGGGUCCGGUUUAUAAGGAAGUUGGUGCGCCCAAUCACUGUGCUAUGCAUCAUCAUGGUCUUCACCAUUGGUGUAUACGCCAAUCUAAAACAUGACAGACAGAGAAUCCUGAACAUUGCCAUAAUGACUGGUAUCCAGAACACCGGUAUAUCCAUUGUCAUGCUUCAGUUGUCACUUCCGGCACCGGAUUCCGACAUUGGAAUGCUGGCUCCCAUUGUGUGUUCCAUUUUUACUCCUAUUCCCAUGGUGAUUACCAUUACUGCAUAUGAAAUAAAGAAGCGGUGCUUUAUGAAGAAGGAGGUUGCCACUGGUGAGAAAUUGAAAGGACUAGAUGGGGAGAGAAGUCAGGGCAAUUGGGGGUGGAGGGUUUAUCUUACCAGCCGGUUCGUGAGAAAGGGAGUGACUCUGAAACAGACAGUUGUAAAAAACAUGAAAAGAAAGGCAUUCAGAAAACUUGACAAUGGCAACUUCACGGGUCACUUUUGGUAA
rnacentral:sRNA from 1 species